rnacentral:rRNA from 1 species
UGGUUUAAUUCGAAGCAACGCGAAGAACCUUACCAAAUCUUGACAUCCUUUGACAACUCUAGAGAUAGAGCCUUCCCCUUCGGGGGACAAAGUGACAGGUGGUGCAUGGUUGUCGUCAGCUCGUGUCGUGAGAUGUUGGGUUAAGUCCCGCAACGAGCGCAACCCUUAAGCUUAGUUGCCAUCAUUAAGUUGGGCACUCUAAGUUGACUGCCGGUGACAAACCGGAGGAAGGUGGGGAUGACGUCAAAUCAUCAUGCCCCUUAUGAUUUGGGCUACACACGUGC